rnacentral:lncRNA from 1 species
GUCUCAAUCUCCUGACCUUGUGAUCCACCCGCCUCAGCCUUCCAAGUACUGGGAUUACAGGCGUGAGCCACUGCGUCCGGCCAUUACAGCUUUUCUAAUAGGACUCCACACAGGUCAAGGUUUGACCCAUCUUCCUCCACAUCGUGCCCCUAGCACCAAGAACAAUGGCUGCUACGUAACAGGUUUUGCUGAAUGGUGCAGAAGAGAACUCAAACAGUUGGGAGGACAUGAAAGAUACAGACAACGCUGAAGGGAAGGAGAAGCAGCAGCAGAUGGCUGACUACUGGGAAGUGCAUCCUCCUGUUGUAAGCAUCCUGCUUACGAUGUAAUCCCUACUCCAUUAGGAACCUCUUGCAGAGCACGACUGCAGUACUGUGGAAAUGGCUGUAGGAGAUUACUCCUUCUGAGCCAUCUACGAUAAAAAAAUCAACAAAGCAUUGUUACUACAGGCCACUUGACGGGCUAUGAGAGAAGACUAGUUGUUCAUGGUGGUCUUCAUUGUAAGACUGUAUUUACAGUUCUAAAGUGGCUUAAGUGCUAUAAGGGGAAGGGAUUAAAAAAACAAUCUAACCUGAGAAGGAUACAAAGCUGAAGCUGCUAAGAUUCCAGGUCUCUUUUCCCUUCUUACUUUCUUAUGUCAACAAUUAGAAAAGUCUCAGAUACUUUUUUUUUAAAGGCCUUUGUUAUGAUCGAAAUGUCUGUGUCCUUUGUCCUGCCCAAAUCCGUAAACUGAAACCUAAUGACCAAUGCGAUGGAGAGGAGGAAGGCCUCUGGGAGGGAAAGGGAUUUGCAUCCCUCCAAAAGAGGUUCCAGAGAGCUGCCCUGCUCCUUCAACCACGGGAGGACGCAGCAGGAAAGUGCCACCUUCACCUGAUCCGGAUUCAGCCAGCACCUUGAUCUUGGACUUCCCAGCCUCCAGGAUUGUGAGAAAUAAAUUUCUGUUGUUUAUAA